CAUGUGCACACAACCAAAAUAAAAUACUAUAGCAAUCCUCUUAUUAUAUAGUUCAAGGAAUUGGGGACAUGAACUCUCCAGAGACUAGGAGGAAUUCAAGGUUAACCAAAUGGGGUAAUUUUACACAGUUUGUUAACAAAAAGGUAAUUGUAUUCAGAUGUACAAUAUAGCCUGAUUUUUACCUGCCACCUGACUACAUGGUGUUAGCAAUUCCUACAUAAUGAAAACAGACCAACAAAUAUUUCCUUCGGGCGGUUUUGCUAGUUGUUGUUAACACGCAGUUAUAAACUGAGCUCCCGUCUGUACUGCACGGGAGAAGUCCAGCAAUGCAUUACCUCAUAUGUAAAACAUACUUUUGUCCUUACCAGGACAUGGCCACACAUGUCUGAAAACACACUAACCGGGCCCCGAGUUUCCCUGAAAGCAGAGGAAGUGAUUCAGAAAACAGGAUCUGUUAAGCUACAGCGAGCAGCCAAGGUUAGUGAACGUGGCACUGUGCUAGCAACACGUACCACCGCAGGGGCUGGAGACGUGGCCGUGGCCGGGUCUCCGAUUCAGCAGAGCAUCUCCAGGAGGCGGCCACAGUAAAGCCGAGGCUUUUACAGAAUCCGAACAACAAGCAUUUGGCAACAGCGCCUGCAUUUCACUUUGUGGACUUCCUUCUGUCGAGGACCUCGAUACCUUUCCCAAGGGCUCAGAAUGGAGAUAAAUUCCUAAGACCAACAAGAGCCAACCUGAAUGCGUGACGGACGCUAGUGACCCUCACGGGACUCGGCGCCCUGGGUCGCGGCAUGGAAAACAAACCUCACCCGGAGCAGCCCCUCGGCGUAAGAUGAGCAGAAUCAGAGGCCGACUGAGGGAACUAGUUCCUGUAUGUACAAAUACACAUGCAAACAUGCUAUACAGCAGUUUAAAUAAACUCAUGCUGAAGAAGGGUGAGUUGUGCCAACAGCUUGUAAUGACAUGCUGUCAGGUAAGAGCUGGCACAUUUCUUGUGUCCAGCCGUGUAUACGUAAUGGUAUCACAGCAGGAGCUGAGCUGCUGUGGAAUUUAAGGUUGUGGGGUUUUUAAUAGCACCUAGGGGACAGGAUACUGGCACUCUCUGAAUAUUCAGUAACUUCCCAGCCAGAGCCUCUAUUCAUCCUCUAAUCAUCUACAGAUUAUUUAGGAGUUUACUUUAUCCUGUGAUAACUAAGAGUGCAGUUCUUCAGGUGAUGAGCAGUCUCCUUGCUAAAUAGGGAUGGCUGAGGCUGUUUUUUGCAAAGCUUUUGUCUACCUUUGCCCGAGCCUUCGUGACAAAUAAGUGGCUUCUACACUUGUAGAGGUAAGACCAGUAAAUCAUCAGCUAUGAACCCAUUUGUUCAAAGAAGAAAAGAAAGUAGUUCUGCAAUUCUACACCAGUGACAAGAUGAAGCUGUCUCAUACAAUAGCCCUAGAAACCUCUAGGCUCCUGGUAUUCUGAUUCCCUGGCUAUGAUUUUCCACAGUGACCAAGCAAUGUAUUUAAUCCUUUCACUGCCUCUGUGUAGGGUCUUGGAGCUUUAAGGUGUUGGAAGGAAUCAUCAGACUAACUCCUUCAAGGCCUUAGCAGGCAAGUUCUUGCACUGUGCCCCUGGGCAAAAAAAAAGAAGUUUUCUUCCAAAGCACAUGUUUUUCCUUUAGUAUGCUUUACUAGUUUAGGAAAACAAGCUCUUCCUUUAAAAAAAGAAAGUUCUUUGAAAACCUGGAUCUUUUGCAAAUAAUGUGUUGCUAAAGCUGACAUCUUGUUUCUCCCCACCGUGGUUAGAGAAAAUUUCUUCUCUGAACCUUCAAGACUUUUCAGUCCUCCUAAUGGAUUUUUUUUUCACCUGACUCCUAGAGGUCUGCUUAAAGAUCAGAAUGAUUACAUAUUUAGUUGUGCAUUAAACUACUUGCCUCUAAGUAUACGGUAGUCUUUUCAUCAAACCCAUCAUAGUGGAUACUCUUAUUUAUUCCUGCGGGAGCUGGGAGGCCUAAUCAGGCCCAGCACUUGCUGAUGUGAUCAGUAAAGCCUGGUGACUGGCUUAUUCUGUUAAAAUGAUCAGCAGUGAGAUAAUUACAUUCCACAUGCAAAUCGUCGUUGAGGGAGCCUGAAGGAAUACCCACCGACCUCAACGGGGCAUUUCACACCACAGUGAUAAGGUUCAGCCAGCAAAGAAUGCUACUGCCCUCUUUUUGAAUAGAGAGGAUUAGCAAGAGCUGUCUGUCUGUCUGUUAGUCUGCACUUAGCACCUCCAAGUAAGCUGUUUGCCAGGACAGACAGACAAUGUUUUGGAAUCCAUCUGGCAAAGGCCUUCUUCAUCCAGGUUUGUUCUGGGAAGAAACUUCAGGUGCUGUUGCGAAUCUCAGAGCAUGUUCUUUCACUGAAAAAUAUUGUUGUGCCGUUAUAUAAAGGCUGCUCAGCUAUUACAGUGAUGGGCACUCUAUUGAGGCCUCUAAUAAAAGCAACGCACAAAAGGAGAUAUGACAUUUGCACAUUGUUGGGCAUAAGGGCUUGUCUAUAGCAGGAAGAAUUUCUUGCUUUGGGUAUCUCAGAGAAGUUAAAGAUGCAGUCUUCCUGCCUAUGUCAGUAUAACUGCAUCUGCACGAGGGCUUUUAUCAGCAUAACCAUGUCAGCAAAAGGUCCAUCUCUUAACUGAUAUAAUUACACUAAUAAGGCUCUUUAAGUGUAGGCCAGCUUAUACAGAUGCUGCAGACAGAAGGAAAUGAGAGAAUUGCUCCUUUCAUCAUGAUAGCCUAAUGUCAGAGGCCUGAUGCUGACAUUUCGAGCAUUGUUAACCUCUGCUAUUUUAGGACUGUUGUGUAGGAGCCUGUCACCACUGGAUCCAGCUUUCAGAUACUUCUGGGAAUACAGGGCAGAUAUCUGGGUAGUGAGAUGUAAUCACCUUGGUUAAGGUUCUCCUUUGAGAACUUCUCAUCUACUUCUUGCCCUGUUUUUCCCUGUUGAAACUCCUUCAUAUGCCAGCAAGCCCAGCCCUUGUUUUACUUGAGCUCCAUGAUGAGAUCCCCAGUGGAUGGCUCCAUGACUACAUUAAAUUACAUGUUAGUAUGUCCUUCCCCUCUUCCUUCAAAGAUUUCAUUAUCUUGCACAAAGGCAUGUGAAAAGAGGAUUAAUGUCUCUCUGUAUUUAAGAGGAAAAAUAGAUGAACUGUUCAGCAGUGAUUCCUCUCAACCACGAGCAAGACAUGGAGCAGGAGCUAUGAAAAUAAAUUUGAAGCCAGAGGUGCUGGUUCAGAUUACAACUGUGCUAGAUGUGCUAGUCUCGAACUCCGGCUUGGUGAAAAAUGAGGGUUUGGCAUUUUACGGAGUGGCUGUCUGCGGCUCCCUUUGCCAUUGCACUCAUUCACACUGCUCUCCGUGCAACCCUUCACCCUGACAAUUGCACUGUCUCCAUUGUUUAUGGGGCCGGGCUGUGAACCAGAUCUGGGAAUAGAGCCAGCUUAAAAAAAAUAAAAGACAGAAAGAAAGAAAAGGGUGGGAGAAAGGAGGGAGGCUGUAUUCUCACUAAAAGCCAGUAUUGCCACUGAAACCCCAUCUUAUCAAAACACAGCCUUCUGCAGUGGUGGGAAGAGGAGCCACAGUCUCUCAGAGGGACAUCUGCAAGCCAAGAAGAGGCACCGUAACCAGCGCAGCCUGUACACAACCCCAGAUUUGUGACACUGCCUCGGAACAAAGGCUCUUGCAUUGCUUUUGAAAAAAACCAAACAAACCCCAACUCCAAGAGAGCCACAGCCAAGCAGAUGGGAACCACUGAAAAGCGUGCAUCUGAUCUUCGGAUGAAGAAGGGCGGGUUUCAUGCCCACCGUUGAAAGACUGCUCCAUCCAGUAAACUCUCAUGAAUGGAAAAUGAAGACAGCAAAGGAAGAAAUCGAACCGUCAUGUUCUGGAAAAGAAAUACAGCUUGGAAGCAGCAUGAAAUGAAGGAGUCAAUAUAACGUGAUCAGCCCAUUCCCCACAGAGAGCUAGGGCUACAGGGGACACAGGUGGAGAGUCACUAAAGGCAAAUCUGUGCUGCCAGGGGCUCUCAGCGCAGAAACCUCACACUAACGCAAACCUCGCCACAGAGCUGUGCCAGCGCAGGGCUGGGCCUCAGCUACGCCUUGGCUAGACACAGCCCUAACAGAGACGUCUUGCUUUCAAGCCUCCAGCUGGUACCUCUCCAAGAUACCACGUUGCACUCUGUGGAGAAACCUGCUCAGCUGGCGCCGGCUCACAUGCUCUGCCAUGGAAUAGCAAAGCUGGCACAAGCAGAGAGGAGUAGUCUCACAUUUGCUAAGCACACCAGACAUGAGCUACAGGUGACAUCUUCCCACGAGGGAAAUCAGUUUUCUGUGAUACUACUACAAACUAGCCCGUCAAGGCAAAGACUGUGGAGCAUCUUGGAUUUAGCUUGACCACCCAACACUUAGGCAAAUUUAGGACUGUCUGGUUCGGGCUAAUCUAAUAUGAAACAGAAACACCUCUGUUUUUCCUAGGAUAUAAAAUGAAAUAAUUAUUUCCUUCUACUUGGAUGAAACAUAGCAAACCCUACAGGGCUCGGUCAGAACUUCUGUUUCUUUUCCUGUGAGGAUGCAUUCUCAAAUACGCAGUCCAGAGUUUCUCAAAGUAAACACUAAGCUUAAUCUAACUAUGGUUUAAACUAUGGAAUGGAAUUAAUGCUAUAACAAAAUAUUUAUGAAGCACAAGCUCUGUAAACCAAGCAUGAAAUGUGUCAGAUAAAAACUUUGAAAAAUACAGGUUUUAAUAGAAGUAAUUUUAUAGAUGUACAAAGAAACCUUGAAGUGAAGCUGGAUCUGAUGCUGAAAUGGCAGACUUGUAAAACAGAGUGCAGGCAUGUAUGAGGAGAUAAAAUUAUCUGUUCUGCUGUUGAUUUGGUACAAGAGAUAGCACCAAAUAGUCACUACUGAGAACAGUGCACCCUUGAAAGCUAGAACUGCCAAAGGAGGGUGACACGUCUUUGUUCUGUAACCUCAGUCAGGAAAAAGCAAAGUAUAGAGCGUUAUGUUCGAUCCUCAGUCAAAAACAAAAAAACGCCAGUGAAGGAGCUGGAGAGGAUUUCCAAUCAGUUGUAAA